GACAAAGACCAUUUGGAAACACCCACACAUAGACAGUGGACAAAGGAAGAAAGGAUGGAUGUCUGUCUACCCAUAUCACACCAGCAGUCUUUGGUACAGGGUCCUUGUCCAAAUAUGCAAAGCCGCAUUCAACGACAGUAAAUCAACAUAAGAAUGCAGGGACAAGGUGAUGCAGAUACGCCCAAUUCAAAACAUUUGCAUUAAAGUUGUUUCUAUCACUUGCUGAAUUGCUCAGUUCCAUGUACAGCAAAUAAUUUUGCUAUCACUGCUGUCAUUGGUACAUUUAGUGGUUUGGGUGAUCUUUAUUUUGCUUCAAGAUGACCAUAUGAAGAAUCCAUGGAGUACAAAGGCAUGUUUUGCUUAACUUGAAUUCAGAUAGGUAGGUAUCCACUAAAGUUUUUUUUAUGUAUGUUCAUAUGCUUAACAAAAAUUUCUAGGCAAUUUGUGGAACAGUCCCUUAUUAAUGAUGCUCUUGACAAUAGCAACAUGGUUUCUUCCUUUCCAGAAAACAGCAGGGUAGACAUUAUAUAAACAUAAUCUUCCUGUAAAUCUUUUCCUGUGAUUGAACCAGGAUAAUUAGAUCUAGUUUUGCCAAAAC
rnacentral:lncRNA from 1 species